rnacentral:lncRNA from 1 species
AUGAUGAAAAAAAGAAGGAACAACGGUCGUACCAAAAAGGGCCGCGGCCACGUGCAGCCUAUUUGCGACACGAACUGUGCCCAAUGUGUGCCCAAGGACAAGGCUAUUAACAAAUUCAUCAUUGGAAACACAGUGGAGGCUGCAGCAGUCAGGGACAUUUCUGAAGCGAGCGUCUUUGAUGCCUAUGUGCUUCCCAAGCUGUAUUUGAAGCUACAUUACUGUCUGAGUUGUGCAAUUCACAGCAAAGUAGUCAGGAAUCGAUCUUGUGAAGCCCACAAGGACUGAACACCCCUACUCCAAUUUAGACCUGCGGAUGCUGCCCCACAACCCCCACCAAAGCCCACGUAA